GACGAACGCUGGCGGCGUGCUUAACACAUGCAAGUCGAGCGAGCGGCGGACGGGUGAGUAAUGUCUGGGAAACUGCCUGAUGGAGGGGGAGAACUACUGGAAACGGUAGCUAAUACCGCAUACCAUCAGAUGUGCCCAGAUGGGAUUAGCUAGUAGGUGGGGUAACGGCUCACCUAGGCGACGAUCCCUAGCGGGUCUGAGAGGAUGACCAGCCACAUGGGACCUGAGCCACGGUCCAGACGCCUACGGGAGGCAGCAGGGGGGAAUAUUGCACAAGGGGCGCAAGCUUGAUGCAGCAAUGCCGCGUGUGUGAAGAAGGCCUUCGGGUUGUAAAGCACUUUCAGCGGGGAGGCGUUACCCGCAGAAGAAGCACCGGCUAACUCCGUGCCAGCAGCCGCGGUAAUAC
rnacentral:rRNA from 1 species